UACGUAGGGUGCAAGCGUUAAUCGGAAUUACUGGGCGUAAAGCGUGCGCAGGCGGUUGUGCAAGACAGGUGUGAAAUCCCCGGGCUUAACCUGGGAAUUGCAUUUGUGACUGCACGGCUAGAGUCUUGUAGAGGGGGGUAGAAUUCCAGGUGUAGCGGUGAAAUGCGUAGAGAUCUGGAGGAAUACCGGUGGCGAAGGCGACUUUCUGGCCUGUAACUGACGCUGAGGCGCGAAAGCGUGGGGAGCAAACAGG
rnacentral:misc_RNA from 1 species